UCAGUGCUGUCUUGGGUCUACCAGGUGGACCAACUGCAGUGCAGCCGCAGCCCUUCCCAUCCCUUGACAAAGAGGAUGGCGAACUUGAGCUGAUUCUUAGAUCUCUCUUCACUCCUCGGGGACACCUGAGAUUGGAGUCUGAUCCCGGUUUAUUGUUUUAAUUUUUUAUUUUUCUCUCGGCUACAGCCAUGAGACAAAGGAGCAGAUACGACACAUUUACCACCUACAUUGGCAGAUAGGGGCGGGCACAGUGUAAACCUGGCUGCAUAACAGCAUCGUGGGAACUUCUGCCAGCAAACGGGCAACAUCUUGUCAAACAGAAAGUUCACAGCCACAGCCAAGAGGGAUACAUGUCUCCAGAGCAAACGGAUGACAGACAGCAUCCCACAACGCCUGUCUAUCUCGGAAGACUCCUCUUCUCCAUUCCCCCAAGAGCCAACCGACGUCAAAA